GCCGAGAUGGCGAAACUGGCUAGACGCGGGGGACUUAAAAUCCCCUGAGAGUGAUCUCAUCCGGGUUCGAGUCCCGGUCUCGGCA
rnacentral:tRNA from 1 species